GUCUGUUUACAUGAUUUAUUAAAUAUAAAAGAUUGUAAAUAUUCUUUCAGAUAUAGUAAUAUACUGGAUAUACCACAUGUAAAAACUACACAGUUUGCUGGUAUAUUAACAGUAGUGUUAGGAUUAAACGACAAGAAACGGCUUCUCCUGAAUGACGGAGAUGUUAUCCAGAACAGACUUAACCAAAUGGACUUAAAACUACAGAAAUUAGAAAUAUUGUUAAACCAACAAUCAGCUUUGAUAUCAGAUGGAAGAUCAACCUACAUCAGAUGGGGAAAGCAUUCUUGUAAUACUAAUGCCACACUCAUUUAUUCAGGUCAACUUGCAGGCACAUCUCAUGAAUCGACAGGUGGUGCUGCAAAUCCUCUGUGUAUGGUUCAUGACGUCAUUUGGGGCAACCAUCAAAGUGAAGGCAAUAUGGCAGAAAUUCAUGGUGGAGAAUAUCAGGAUUCAUUCUGGGGCCCUAAUACUGGCGAUAAAGACGUGCCAUGCGCUGUUUGCAAGCCUCAUGGUCAUUCAACAGUUCUUAUGAUUCCUGGAAGAAACAAAUGCCUUCCCGGCUGGACGGAAGAGUACCAUGGAUAUUUGUCGGCAAAUCUCGUGUCACAUCCCCACACCUCACAUUAUAUUUGCGUCGACGAAAACGUGGAAUUUCUCGAUGGAGGAACAGAAAGCAAAAAUGGUUAUCUGCUAUAUGGUGUACGAUCCCAUUGUGGUAGUUUGAAAUGUCCACCAUACAUCAACGGGAAGCCGAUAACAUGUGUUCUUUGUUCUCAAUAAAGAAAUGAAAAUUUUAAACUAAGUCCUUUAACAUCCAGCUGGGGAAGUAAUCGAAUUGUAAUUGAAAAAAUGACCAAGAAUGCAGAAUGUAGACAUACCCUCAAAGAGAGGCAGAAGACAAACUGACAACGCCAUGGCAAAAAACGAAAAACGC